rnacentral:lncRNA from 1 species
GAUUUGAUCUAUUUUUGGCUAGAGCACAUGGGAUCAAACCAGAGGUAAUCAAUUUUCUAUGUUCACCUGAUUAGUUAUAAGGAAUUUAUUACCUCUGUUUUAUUUCUAGGAUACCCAAACCAGUGGUAACGUUUUUUAUGGCUUUGAAAUUCUGUACAAGGUAUUCUCAUGUCUAAAUACUAGAAUUGUUUGUUCAUUGCUAAAUUGUUAAUGAGGGGUCCAUGUAGUGCUCUCAGUGGAGACGCUAGACCAUCUGAUGUUCAUUUAGACAUUUCUAUUCAAACUUUCAAAGUGAUUGUUUUCUUUUUGUGUGUCCACACAGUUGUUUGUGUGCAUCCAAUAUAAAACUUGCUAUGAAUUUGCACCACCUACACCCUUUUUCCAUGUCUUAGUCUAUAUGAAUUACCCACUUUAUAUACCGCAAAAAGAAAUUACCCACUUUAUAAUAACUCACAUGUUAAUUAAAAGGAAAAAGAUCUGAACCAUCGACACUCUAUAAGUUAAGUUGUUCAGCUAAAAUUUAACAAAGAGAUAUUUGAUUACAUGGAUCUCUAAUUUUUCUGCAGUGUUGUAAUUAUAUUGUCUUGGGUGUGUUGUUGUACGUUCCUUGUAUCAUGUUGACUUGCUCCUUGAUCAAUAGGGAUGUGGAUACAAAAUUCCGUUUUCCACUACUUAUAUUAUCCUCAUUGGACCUUAAGCUAUAAUCAUCGGCUGUUGUUGUGUGUCUGCCUGCCUGGCAAUGUUUCACCUCUAUUUUUGACCUACUGUUGACUUAUUUGGAACCUGAGAAAGAAUUAUUUUACAUGUUAGAGUACUCUCAUAUGUUCGAAGUCUUAAAACCAGCUGAGAUAAUGAAAUAAUGCCAGGUAAUUACUCGUGGUUUCAAGGUUGCGCAAAGGAGAGGAGGCAUGGUUAUAGGUCCUCGACAACAUCUGCGCCUCAUAGGUCAGCCAUGAUUCUCGAAUUUUUUGUUCUGCUGUUAUUCCCAAAGAAACAUCGUAGUUCUUUUGGACGGUCAAAGAUUAUUCAGUUACUGAAAUACUUCUUAUCCAAAGAGCUGGGAAUAUUUAAAACAUCUAAAUUGCUUAUCUCAACACUAUAAUAGAAAGUACUAUCUCGGAAAUAAUAACAAAACACCGUGAUAAACUGGGCACCGGAGCCAUAUUGACACAGACCCAUGAUCAGUGAUAUGUGAGCCAAGUCUUGAUACCCGUGAACUUACAGCCACCCAUUGAGUGCAUGAUUUCUUCCAUCUCCUUUUCUUUUGUUUUCCAGGGCAGAUAUUCCACCGUGCAUUGUAUUUGACCAUACUUAACCAAGUUGAUUCAUAUCAAUAAGUAUCUUUUGGUUUUCUUCCAGUUUAUUAGGCAUGGACCCAGACACAAAUUCUGAAGCUUCAAUAAUUUGGGUGGUCUAAUAGUUCCUGUAUAGCUUGAUGUCGUAUCAGGUGUAAUAUUUUGUUGUUGCUUGAUGUUGCAUCAAGACAAGCUAGGGUCAGCAAGGAACAAAGGGGUUGACACAUGGAGAAGCGGGAGCAUAAAAUUCAAAAG